CCUACGGGGGGCAGCAGUGGGGAAUAUUGCGCAAUGGGCGAAAGCCUGACGCAGCGACGCCGCGUGAGGGAUGAAGGUCUUCGGAUCGUAAACCUCUGUCAGCAGGGAAGAACGGUCACUGUGCUAAUCAGCAGUGAAUUGACGGUACCUGCAAAGGAAGCACCGGCUAACUCCGUGCCAGCAGCCGCGGUAAUACGGAGGGUGCGAGCGUUAAUCGGAAUUACUGGGCGUAAAGCGCUCGUAGGCGGUAUGUCAAGUCAAGGGUGAAAUCCCCGCGCUCAACGUGGGAACUGCCUUUGAAGCUGGGAAACUGGAGUGUGUGAGAGGAUAGUGGAAUUCCAGGGGUAGGAGUGAAAUGCGUAGAUAUCUGGAGGAACAUCAGUGGCGAAGGCGACUAUCUGGCACAUAACUGACGCUGAGGAGCGAAAGCGUGGGUAACAAACAGGAUUAGAUACCCGAGUAGUC
rnacentral:rRNA from 1 species